rnacentral:rRNA from 1 species
CCUACGGGGGGCAGCAGUGGGGAAUAUUGCACAAUGGGGGGAACCUUGAUGCAGCAACGCCGCGUGGGUGAAGAAGUACUCCGGUAUGUAAAGCCCUGUCAGCAGGGAAGAAAAUGACGGUACCUGACCAAGAAGCCCCGGCUAACUACGUGCCAGCAGCCGCGGUAAUACGUAGGGGGCAAGCGUUAUCCGGAUUUACUGGGUGUAAAGGGAGCGUAGACGGCAAGGCAAGUCUGGAGUGAAAGCCCGUGGCCCAACCACGGGACUGCUUUGGAAACUGUGUUGCUGGAGUGCAGGAGGGGUAAGCGGAAUUCCUAGUGUAGCGGUGAAAUGCGUAGAUAUUAGGAGGAACACCGGUGGCGAAGGCGGCAUGCCGGCUUCCUACUGACGCUGAAGCACGAAAGCGUGGGGAUCGAACAGGAUUAGAUACCCCGGUAGUC